rnacentral:lncRNA from 1 species
AAGGGGCUAGUGUGUGUGUAUAUAUAUAUAUAUUAUAUACUUAUAAGACAAUAUAAGAAUGUUUAUAUAUGGACUGGAAGUUAACUAAAUUAAUAAGUGGUACAAUCACUUUAAUAGCUUAUUUAUAUAUAUCUCAUCAAAAUUUAAUAUAUAUAUAUAUAUAAUGGGGCGGAUUCAUGGCACUAUAUUUUUGACACAAUUUUUGGGCCAUUAGAUUACUCCACUUUUAAUGGUUGAGAUUAAAUCUGAUAUGAGAAAUAAUUUUAAUGUUUUAAAUAAAAAUAAUCAUUAAUUUUAUUUUCUCUCUCAUAAAAAUAAAAUAAAAUUAUUUUUUCUAUCCUCCCUUUUUCUUGAAAACGUAAUCUCUCUUCUUGGUAAUCCCUCUCUCUCUCUCUCUCUCUCUCUCU